rnacentral:lncRNA from 1 species
GCAAAAUUCCCAAGAACAACGCUCCCUAGUCCCAAUAUUGAAAUAAAGAUCCAUAAAAAUUCAAUCGUACAAAUUCAAAAUUUAUUCAAGAUUCGGAAUCCUCAUUGCGAGAGCUACAAGGAGCACCUACAAAUCUUACGAAUAGAGUUCCGAAACUGCAAGUUCAUCCGAAGUCCCAAAUUUGAGGUAUGUGGGUGUUGAACAAGAAUAAUCCUUCCGUUCUUGUGCCUAAAACUUGAUUUUUAUAAAGAUUACGUAAAUUUUUAUUUUGAAGUUUAAUCAAAUUUAUCUUAUUUUGAGUUUGUGUAACUAUCCAUAAAUUGAGUAUUUGAAGGCAUUAUAUUUUAUCUUGAUAUGAUUUGAGUUGAGAUAUACAUAUUUUGAUUUAUAUUUUCCUAUUACAAAUUGAUGUUGUUGAAUUUAUUUGAAAUGAGUAUUGAGAAUGAAUUUACGAAAUUUGUGAUAUGAAUUUUGAGUUGUUGAAAUUAUGAUAUUUAUGUCAUAAAUUUAUUCCCAAUACUUUAAUUGAGAUAAGUGACGAUUUUCGAGAUGAUUGUUGAGUAUGAAAUUUAGAUAUGAUUUUGAUGUAUCAAAUCUUUAUAUUUUGGGUCAUAAAUAUAUGUGAUGAAAUUAUAAGGAGAUUUUGAUCUCGAGUCGUGGACAUGAUUUUAUAAGUAUUUCCCAAAAGCAAAGACUGUUGUUUUGAUAUUGAACAAGUAUGGAACUUGAGAUGAUAUUUUGGAAGAUGAAAUCGUUAUAUUUAUGUCAAGGUUGAAAUUAGAUUUUUAUGAUAUUAUGAUUUGGAGUUUUCCUUUAUCAAAUUAUGUACCAAUAUUUAAAUUGAAAUUUAUAUUAUGAUUUUUGAGUUGAAAAGUGGAAUCCACAAUUUAUUAUGAUUCAAUUAUGAGAAAUAUGAUUUCGAUUUCACUAUAGGCCCUUGAGAUUAUUUUGAGGUAGAUUUCCUAAAUGAGACUGAGCUUGAGUACGGGAGUAGUAUUUAGCACUGAGCGGGAGGCGUAGGUGAGCGUACCCUACUUCCCUAGAACUAUGUGCCAUCAUAGGAUUUGAGAUUUGUGGGCCUACGGUCGAGUUUGUGAUCACUGAGUUGAGGUUAUACUCCCUAGCAAGAGUAUGACGCUCCUUCCCAACGUGGGGUUUCUUCCUUAGGAGGAAAAAAUGUUGGACUCCAUGAUAAGCUCACAUGGUUUAUGUCGGUUAUAAGAAACUUCCAUGGGGUGUGUGUCUCUGCUCUAUCUAAAAUAAGUGUGUAUGAUUUGAAAAAUAUGAUUUCUAAGAAAGUUACUUGUUUCCAAAAGAUUGAAAUGUAUGCUCUAAAUAGAGCUGUUUUAAGACUUGAUUACUUUACGAGUUUGAAACCGAGAGAAAAGUGAAUUGAGAACUUAUUGUAAUAACUCACUUGUUUUACUUUACAUGUAUUAUUCCUCCAUGAUUUUGAUGAUUCAAUUCGAGCUAAGUGAGUCAUUUAUAUCAGCAUGCAUAAUUUUAUAAACUGUAAUGAUAUUAAGAUAUUCUGUUAUAUAUACGUUGCACCCCUAUAUGCUCAGUACAUUUCUAUGGUAAUGACCCACAUAUUCGUAUGUGGGCUACAUUUUCUCAGAAUAUAGGUACAAUGUAUAGUAUGCACCUUCAGAUCCAGUCAGUUCGUGGUAUCCAGUCAACAGGUGAUGAUUUCUUUCAUUCAAAGGCUUCAGUUAUUUAUACAGUUCGAGAAUAUGUCGUAUUUCCUUUAUUUAGUCGUAUUGAGUUGGGAUAUUUGGGAGUCAUGACCUGACUACCUAUAGUCAGUACUAGUAGAGGCUUCAUAAGGCUUCAUAGAUAGUCAGUAGAAGUUAAUGUAUUCUGUUUCAGUUUGUUGGAAAAAGCAGAGUUGUAAUUUGUAAAUUCAUGUUAUAUUGAGCAAAUUCAUAAAAGAUUUAUAUUCUGCAUUAUUCUUUAAGAUUUAUCCAUUUUAUUCAGUUUCCUAUGAGUUAUGCCAGUAGGAGGGUUAUCUUGGGGUCACUGGUGACCUUAAUCACUGCGUGACAUCUCGGGACCCAUUUUUGGGGCAUUACAAACUUGGUAUCAGAGCCCAAAGUAGAAGUGUCCUAGGGUGUCUGUGAAACCGUGUCUAGUAGAGUCUUGCGGAACGGUACGGAGACGUCUAUAAUUU